GAUGAACGCUGGCGGCGUGCCUAAUACAUGCAAGUCGAGCGAACAGACGAGGAGCUUGCUCCUCUGACGUUAACGGCGGACGGGGGAGUAACACGUGGAUAACCUACCUAUAAGACUGGGAUAACUUCGGGAAACCGGAGCUAAUACCGGAUAAUAUAUUGAACCGCAUGGUUCAAUAGUGAAAGACGGUUUUGCUGUCACUUAUAGAUGGAUCCGCGCCGCAUUAGCUAGUUGGUAAGCUAACUGCUUACCAAGGCAACUAUGCGUAGCCGACCUGAGAGGGUGAUCGGCCACACGGGAACUGAGACACGGUCCAGACUCCUACGGGAGGCAGCAGUAGGGAAUCUUCCGCAAUGGGCGAAAGCUUGACGGAGCAACGCCGCGUGAGUGAUGAAGGUCUUCGGAUCGUAAAACUCUGUUAUUAGGGAAGAACAAAUGUGUAAGUAACUAUGCACGUCUUGACGGUACCUAAUCAGAAAGCCACGGCUAACUACGUG
rnacentral:rRNA from 1 species